rnacentral:rRNA from 1 species
AUUGAACGCUGGCGGCAGGCUUAACACAUGCAAGUCGAGCGAGCGGCGGACGGGUGAGUAAUGUCUGGGAAACUGCCUGAUGGAGGGGGAUAACUACUGGAAACGGUAGCUAAUACCGCAUACUCUCAGAUGUGCCCAGAUGUGAUUAGCUAGUAGGUGGGGUAAUGGCUCACCUAGGCGACGAUCCCUAGCUGGUCUGAGAGGAUGACCAGCCACACUGGAACGGAGACACGGACCAUCCUCCUCCGGGAGGCAGCAGAGGGGAAUAUUGCACAAUGGGCGCAAGCCUGAUGCAUCCAUGCCGCGGAUGUGAAGAAGGCCUUCGGUUUGUAAAGCACUUUCAGCGAGGAGACGUUACUCGCAGAAGAAGCACCGGCUAACUCCGUGCCAGCAGCCGCGGUAAUAC